UCUCUCCAUUCUGGAGAACAUGUCAGAAAUAUCUGCUUAUUAUUGGUUUUUAAUGUGCAUGGUCGCCUGUAUCAGCAUUGAAGGACUGCAAAAUCCACCAAAGGCUCCAAAUUUUCUUAUCAUCUUCCAGAACUGACAGUGAACCUGGCGGGCUUGGGAUGUUUGCAAGACACAAGAGAGAAAAUGAGAACAAAGAAGACAGUGAGCAUAGAGGAGAAGAGGAUUUACAGACUGGCCAUUAGGAAUCUCUAUUCUAUCACUUAGUAUAUGGGUGUAAGGAAAAUGUGUUAAAAUCAGACUAUCUUCGCCUUCCACACAACAAAGAACAGAGAUUCAGAGAGAAUUUAUGAUAGAAACUAACACAUAAGCAUGCUAUGCUGAUAUUAAAGAUAAGUAAACUAUUUUAUAAAAUGAGAAAGAUCAUGAAGAUGAAAAUAUAUGUAUGAGUUUUAAAAAAUCAAGAAUGUCACCAAUCUGAAAAAAAAUCUUUGUAUCCCUGUAGGGUAAGUGAUUAU